rnacentral:ncRNA from 1 species
GCUAAAUAGUACGCCGAUUACCUUUCGUCGGUGCUGGACUUCUUAGAGGGAACAAGCGUCUUGAAGACGCACGAGAUUGAGCAAUAACAGGUCUGUGAUGCCCUUAGAUGAUUCGGGUCGCCGCACGACGCGGCCGCACACUGAAGGGGACAGCGAGUUUUUCCUGGUUCGAAAGAACCGGGUAAUCUGUUGCAAUUCCCUUCGUGACGAUCUUCCCUUGACAGACAGGGAUCGCGGGGCUUGCAAUUAUAUCUCCCGUGAACGAGGAAUUCCCAGUAAGCGCGCAAGUCAUCAGCUUGCGCUUUGAUUACGUCCCAUGCCCUUUGUACCACACCCGCCCGUCGCUACUACCGAUUGAAAUGGUUUAGCAAAGGUCCUCGGAUUGGGUGCCGACUUGGUGGCAACACUUAGUCGGAUACUGAAAAGAAGAUUUCAAACUUGAUCAUUUAGAGGAAAGUAAAAGUCGUAACAAGGUUUCCGUAGGUCUGAACCUGCGGAAUGGAUCAUUA